rnacentral:lncRNA from 1 species
AAACCCUAGAGAGCUGCAUGAGAUAAAGAUCUGAGAGAAAAAACUCACAGAGAAAACCCUAUAUAACCUAAGCCUAGAAUCCUUGUUCUAAGCCAUUUUCCAGGGCACAACUACCACCAAAGAUUUGCUGAUUGAUAUCUGAAUCAGAAGGGCAAAAGGAACCGAUUCUGAUAUGGGCGAGCCCUCGAGGGCUCGGGAAUCCUGGGCCAACCGGCUCGUUCCGGUAUUUUCUCUUCUCUUCUUCCUUUCUUCUUUUACUAUUCUCAUAUCAUUUCUAUUUUAUUUUGAUCUAAAUAUUGUUUUGAAAAUCGUGUUUUGAAAUGCUUUGGAUCACGCUGGUUCCGCCACAGAUCUGAGAGCAGAUCUGCUUGUUCUGGGCAGAUCUGAUCUCAUAUCUGAAUUCGAUUGUUCUCACUUUCUCUACCAUUGGUUUUUCAUUUCAUUUUAUCAGUUUAAAGUGUCAGAUCAUAGUGAUCUACAUCUUCAGAUCGUCCUAAUUUUGCGCUGUAAACAGUUUGGCGCCCACCAUGGGGCAUCAUCAAGCAUGAUCCGAGCAUAAAAAUUUCAAAAAAAUCAAAAUCUUUUGAAACUUUGUAGGCAUGUUCUAGGUAUCAUUUUGUGAUUGUUCCUAAGACAAAGCUUUCAAUGCAAAGCACUCUAGUACAAACAAGUACUUGCAAGUUCCAAUAAUAUUGCACAAGCAAACCUUGAGGAUGAAGACUCCUAAACCCUACAGGUUCCCAAUAGAACCAACUCAAAAAGAUGUAGGAGGGUGACAUGAAUGGAAAACUGAAGUGAUUUUGACGAACCCUGGAAAAUGUCGAGGCCCCUCCAAGAUGGAAACCCGGCAAGAAUCUAGAGAACUCUUCAUGAAUCCGUGAAGCAUAGGAUGAAAGCUCCAAAGGUAAAAAGACAACUUCAAGACUUUUUAGUUCUCACAAUCUCACAAGAAAACCCUUUCAUCAUCUUUGGGUAAAACAUAAUAAACAAAAUAACCACCAAAGGGGCCACAAGUGACAAAACUGUAAGGCCCAUCCCUUGCAAAAAUGUUGUUUCAAUUUGAUUGUUAAAAUCAUCCAUUUUCAAAAGCUUUUUACUUUUAUAAGGGACUUCCUCCAUCACUACAAUAGGCUAACCUAUUAGUCACGCUGGCCUCACUCUCGAAGCCAACUUCCUAUGCUUGUUAUGAAGGCUUGGAACUAGCUAGACACUCCAUGGUUAUAUGAGUAUAACUACCAACUAUCACAUAUCAGAGAUGGGCGAACAUCGCCAAUGACGAUAUUGGGUAGUCUAGGAGCGUUUUUCUCUCAACUGGAUCCCCUGAGGCAAAAUGGGGCAAGCUCAUCCCUGUGUGUGCGUGCAAGACAAAACCCUACAACUAGGGAACUGAAUGUGUAAAAAUUCAGCUUAAAGAGGUGUGUGCGACGAAGGUGUCUUAUUUUGUAUCAUUGAUCAAUUGCACACAUGCAAGUUAAAAACAAAAAGGCCCCAACAAGGGUAACAACAACAAUAGAGAAAAAGAAAGAUCAAUCAAAACAAAAAGUAAAAUUCUGAUCCUGAUUUCAUUAAUUGAAAUGGGCUUAUUACAGGCUUUCAUGCCAUCAAAUUUGGUAUUGUGACUAAAGUUCCUAUUGUCCCCACGGACAUUAACAAAACUACAAAAAAUAAUGGUGAUCGUGAGAUCAACCCAUUUUCAAAAUAUAUAAAAAAAAAAAAGAAGAGAAGAAAAAUAAAAAAAAAGAAAACGGGGUUUUAUUUUAAGGGGGUGUGACACAAUCUUUCUCCCCUAAGUGGGGUAAAUAAAAAAACAAUUUUUUGUUUUUUUUUGGGUGACACUUAGUGUCACCCAGGCUACACCAUUGGUGUCGCCCAUGAUCUUUUUCUUCUUUGUUAUCUUUUGAUAAAAAAAAUAUUGGCGGCACUCCUCGUGUCGCCCAUCCAUGAGUAGCACAAGACGUGCUACCCAAAAACCUCAUUUAAAAAAAAAAAAUAUAUAUUCGCCCGCACUCCUAGUGCUGCUUGGGCGACAUGAUCCAUGUCGCCCAACCCUGAGUGGCACAAGACGUGCCACCCAAAAACCUCAUUUAAAUAAUAAUAAUAAUAAUAAUAAAAUAUUGGCAGCACGCGUCUGCUGCCCGGGCAACACAGUCCAUGUCACCCAACGCUACCCAAAAACCUAAUUUUUUUAAAAAAAAAUUAUUAUUGCAUGUCGCUCGGGCAACACAGUUCGUGUCGCCCAACCUUGGGCGGCACGAGACGUGCAGCCCAAAAACCUCAUUUAAAAAAAACAAAUAUUUUNNNNNNNNNNNNNNNNNNNNNNNNNNNNNNNNNNNNNNNNNNNNNNNNNNNNNNNNNNNNNNNNNNNNNNNNNNNNNNNNNNNNNNNNNNNNNNNNNNNNNNNNNNNNNNNNNNNNNNNNNNNNNNNNNNNNNNNNNNNNNNNNNNNNNNNNNNNNNNNNNNNNNNNNNNNNNNNNNNNNNNNNNNNNNNNNNNNNNNNNNNNNNNNNNNNNNNNNNNNNNNNNNNNNNNNNNNNNNNNNNNNNNNNNNNNNNNNNNNNNNNNNNNNNNNNNNNNNNNNNNNNNNNNNNNNNAAUAACGCUCCGCGGUGGCAUGAGCCUAAACUGCCCAACCAAGUUUCCAAAAUUUCAUAAAAAAUAAAUACUCCUCGGUGGCAUGAGCCUAAACUGCCAACCAAAGUCCGAUUCAGGGCCCAACCACCAUGUUUCAAUGAAAAAUUUCAAACUCCUAUGACGUUAAAGAGCCGAGACAGGAAAAAUAUGAAACUCGUGCGAGGUUAAAGAGCAGAGAAAGGAAAAACGUCAAACUCGUGUGACGUUAAAGAGCCGAGACAUGAAAAACGUCAAACUUGUGCAACGUUAAAGAGCCGAGACUAGAAAAACCUCAAACUUGUGCGACGUUAAAGAGCCGAGACUGGUAACGUCUAGCCCCGUAGGAUGUAAAAUGUCGGAUCUGUUCAGGGCACAACCACCCUGUUCAAUGUCUUCAGGGCACAACCACAGUGUUCAAUUGUCUAGCCACGUAUGACGCAAAAGUUCGGGCAUAUCCAGUUCAACGUCAAACUCAUGCGAUGUAAAAGAGCUGAGACAGGUAACGUCUAGCCCCAUAUGACAUAAAUUUCGGAUGUGUUUAGGGCACAACCGCCUUGUUCAAUGUGUUCAAGGCACAACCACCUUGUUCAGACGUUUAUCCUUGUAUGACGUAAAAGGGUCGGGUGUAUGGUCCAUCGCUGCAUGAUGCUAAACUGCUUAGAGGACUCUAUGGUUGCAGGAUUUAAAACUACUUGCCAACUUGUUUUUUCAAAAUAUCUUUCUCUUUUCAAAAUUUUCACUAUAUGUUAGUGAUUUCAAAAACUUUAAUUCCUUUUUUAAAAUCAUAGUCUUUCCCUGCUCCGGGUUCUAUUUCAAAAUAUCCCUAGACUUUCAAAUUUUCUAAGAAGUAUUUUAAAACGAAGGAGCUUAGACACCCGUAUAUGAUGAUCACCACGUUUGCCGCGAUAGUCGCGUUGCUGCCUCAUCUCUCACUUCGAAUUCGGCCAGACAAGUCUCUUCCUAUAGAAAGUCUUUCCCUAUAGGCAGCCUUAGGAAACCCUAAGGAGAUCAAAGAAAAUGUCAGGGAUAAAAAUUUCAAAUUGUAAAACCCUUGAAGUUAAGUGGCAUGGCCAAAAAAUCCAACUCGAGUUUUAAGCUUGUGUAACUCAUCGACAUCUCACGCCGAAAACCCUAAGAGGAAAAAGCCCUAGGUGGGUGAGUUCGGUGUCCCCUAACCACGUGAUUUCGGGAUGAAAUUUAAAAAGUCUGCUUUAUCUUUGACGUUUACCUGCCCCUCAAGGGACAAAAAAUGCCAUAGUGUCUACUGCUUUGCCACUCAACUAUCCCCCGAAGGACAUGGAAUGCCAAAGAGGGGCAACUGUAGAUGCCGCAUUUUAAAUCUGGAAAAUUAUGUGGUUUCUUGAACCCUUAGGACCACACUUAACCUAGUAAAUCCAAAUCCGUAGUUCACAAAGCCCACCUUGUGAUCCGGAACCAGUUUACCUACCUGAAACCCUGUAGAAACCUUGUCUUGACCCAGAUUUUUGUAAAUGCCCUAUUUUACCCAAAUAAUCAUUAAAAUUAGUAAAAAAAUCUGUUUUGAUCCAAAGUGUCUUUGAGAGCUUCACAAGAGGCCAUGGAACACACCUGAAAAUAAAAAUUUUGAUUUGGAGCAUUUUUUGUUUGUGCAAUAAGGGGCGUGCCGCCCAGGUGCCGCUUAGCCUUGGGCGACACAGAGCGUGCCACCCAGCCAAUGGUGGCACAUCUCGUGCUGCCUAGGCGACACAAUCUGUGCUGCCCAGUCUAUAUCAAUUUUUUUCAUCUUACCCCGUGCCGCCCAAAUCCGCAUCCCCAAAAUGGUAUCUUUGACUGGGGGGAUUUGUUUAUUGUGUGAGUUGAUUCUCCCCAACAAAUUUGGUCCCCUUUUGAGGUUCUUUCUGAGGACCAUUUAGAGGGGGAUGGAGAGAGAAACUGGAGGAGGCUUGAGACGAGAGAAAAACCCUAGAGAUAGAGAUGAGAAACCCUAGAGAGCUGCAGAAGAUAGAGGUCUGAGAGAAAAACUCAGAGCGAAAACCCUAUCUAACCUAAGUCUAAAAUCCUAGUUCUAAGCCAAUUUCCUGGGCACAACUACCACAAGAGAUUUGCUGAUCGAUAUCUUAAUUGGAAGGGCAAAAGGAACCGGUUCUGAUACGAGCGAGCCCUCAAGGGCUCGGGAAUUCCGGGUCAAUCGACCCGGUCCAGUAUUUUCUCUUAUCUUCUUCCUUUUCAUCUUUUAUUGUUUUCGUAUCAUUUCUAUUUUAUUUUGAUCUAAAUAUUGUUUUAAAAAUCAUGUUUUGAAAUUCUUUGGAUCACGCUGGCUCCGCCACAGAUCUAAGAGCAGAUCUGCUCGUUUCUGACCAGAUCUGAAUUCUAUUGUUCUCACUUUCUCUACCAUUGCUUUUUCAUUUCAUUCUUAUCAGUUCAAAGUGUCAGAUUAGAGUGAUCUACAUCCACAGAUCGCUCUGAUUUUACGUUGUAAACAAUAUUACAUUGAUAUAUAACCUGCAAUUGACAUAAUAAUGUCCUUUAAUUUAUAUGCAUAAUUAUUAGACAUAGUGACGCCACUCGUUACUAUGUCUUUAACAUAGACCUGGUUACGCUCUUGUGAUUACAUAUGAGACAUGCUUGUGAUGAGAUAUGAGUGAUAAGAUAUGUGUGCACAAUAAUAAAAUACGUGUAUAUUAUAACAUGCUUCUGAUAAGAUAUGUGUCUGCAUGGUAACAUGCUACCGAUGAGAUAUGUAUGCAUGGAAACCUGCUUAUGAUAAGAUGUGGGUACAUGGCAAUAUGCUUAUGAUGAGAUUUGUGGCAAUAUGCUUCUGAUGAGAUAUGUGUGCAGGGUAACAUGCUAUGUGUUAUGUGCAUGGGCACCUACUGUGUGAAUGAUGGUGUUGCCAGCUAAGAUCUCAUGCUAUGUGAAAUGUGUAGGGGCACCUACUGUGUGAAUGAUGGUGCUGGCAGCUGCCUGAUGGGAAUGAUACCUACUGUGUGAAUGAUGGUGCCUACAGCUACGAUCUUCCCCUGACUUUUCAUGAUAGGACAAGAGUUAGGAUGUGAGUGUUUGGGACGAUCUCACCCCUAAAUCUUUGGCACUACGCAUUGUAUCCUCCUUUGGUAGUGUAACGCUCUCUCAUCAGAAGGGCACUUGAGAGGUUCGCGUCUUGCAAGGCCACCGCCUAUCAAAAAUCCCCAAAGCGCAUUGGGGACUGUGUGUGUGUGUGUGAAAGCAUCAUGCAGUGGGCCAUCCACUUAUCAUUGUCUUCCCUCUUGAGAGAUGAUAGAAAUCCUAAGUAAUGGGAUUGGCUUGGCCUGAUGAAUUGGGCUUCUACUUAAGGAGUAGGUGAAUUAGGGAGUGAGUUGGUUAAUGCCUGCUCAUGCUGUUGUGAAUGCUUAUCGUCGGACUUCUGUUGUUGUGAAUGCUUAUCACCGGACUUAUAUUGUUGUGAAUGCACAUCGUAGGACUUCUGUUAUUGUGAAUGCUUAUUGCAAGAUUUCUGUGGUUGUUAAUGCCUAUUUGAUGA